UACAGAGGGUGCGAGCGUUAAUCGGAAUUACUGGGCGUAAAGCGUGCGCAGGCGGUUGUGUAAGACAGAUGUGAAAUCCCCGGGCUCAACCUGGGAACUGCAUUUGUGACUGCACAGCUGGAGUGCGGCAGAGGGGGAUGGAAUUCCGCGUGUAGCAGUGAAAUGCGUAGAUAUGCGGAGGAACACCGAUGGCGAAGGCAAUCCCCCUGGGCGC
rnacentral:rRNA from 1 species